rnacentral:rRNA from 1 species
UACGAAGGGUGACAACGUUGCUCGGAAUUGUUGGGCGUAAAGCGCACGUAGGCGGCUCCGCAAGUCCCAUGUGAAAGCCCACGGCUUAACCGUGGAAGUGCAUGGGAAACUGCAGAGCUUGAGUACUAAAGAGGAUCGCGGAAUUCCCGGUGUAGAGGUGAAAUUCGUAGAUAUCGGGAGGAACACCAGUGGCGAAGGCGGCGAUCUGGGUAGAUACUGACGCUGAGGUGCGAAAAGCGUGGGGAGCAAACAGG